CGCCCGCAGCCCGUGAACUCCGAGUAGGAAGACAAACCGGAUUGCCGGAAGCGAGAGAGUCCGGACAAGCGGCGAAGGGCUCCUGUUCCCAGUCGGCUGCGCCCGCGGAGCCGCCUCGUUGCCGUUGGCCGUAAGCGGGGGCGGCAGUCCCAUCGGCCAGCGCCUCGGGCUGCGAGUGGCGCCGGGAUCGGGGGCGUCGGCUCAGCAAGCGGCUGGCGUCCGCGCCCUGCGCGUCAGGCCUGAGAACUGGAGGAAACUGGAGAAAAGAUGCCCUCUGACUCUUUCUGUUUGGCUGCCCAGGCUCGCCUUGACUCCAAAUGGUUGAAAACAGAUAUACAGUUCCGGGCCUGCGGGCAAAGGCGUGGAGGGGCUCGCCAGAGUGGGAUCCCGAGCGAUGCUGUCUUUCACCUUCGCCUUCCUGCGCAGGGCCUGGCGAUCAGGCGAGGAUGCGGACCUCUGCAGUGAGCUGUUGCAGGAGUCCCUGGAUGCCCUGGGAGCACUUCCCGAGGCCUCGCUCUUCGACGAGAGCACCGUGUCCUCUGUGUGGCUGGAGGUGGUGGAGAGAGCGACCAGGUUCCUCAGGUCUGUCGUGACUGGGUCUGGGCAGCGUCCUCCUGAACAGCCUGAAGCAGACGGUGGUGACCCUGGCCAGCAGCGCGGGCGUACUGAGCACCGUGCAGUCGGCCGCCCAGUCCGUGCUGCAGAGCGGCUGGUCCGUGCUGCUGCCCACCGCCAAGGAGCGGGCCGAGCACUCUCUGCUCUCCUGCCCUGUGCAGUUUCAGGCAAUGAUGUGAACAUAAGUCCAGGUCGUCGAUUCAUGAUUGAUCUUCUGGUGGGCAGCUUGAUGGCUGAUGGAGGGUUGGAAUCAGCCUUACACGCAGCCAUUACUGCAGAGAUCCAGGAUAUUGAAGCCAAAAAAGAAGCACAGAAGGAAAAAGAAAUUGAUGAACAGGAAGUGAAUGCCUCAACGUUUCACAGAAGCAGGACUCCAUUGGAUAAAGACCUUAUUAAUACGGGGAUCUGUGAGUCUUCUGGCAAACAGUAUUUGCCUCUGGUUCAGCUCAUGCAACAGCUUCUUAGCAGGGCAGUCUCCUUACAGGGAACUUAACGAGGCACAAAAGAAGGCUCAGGGGACAGGGAGGACUUCUGCUGGGAAAAGGCUCCUAGACCCGGUUCUGCCUCUGACUUGCUGGGGGUCCUGGAGAAAGUUGCUUCCCCUCUGUGGUCUCAGUUUCCUCAGUUCGGCAUUUUUCGCCUUCAGCUCCUCGUUGGUUAUGCUGUGACCGGAGGCCAUGGAGAAAGGAAUGAAUUAAGAACAGAAAGGACUGCUUUGGUGAUCAACCCUGUACCUUCGCCCCACAACAGAACUGUGGCAUUGGAAGGGACCCCAGGAACUAAAAGUCGCAGGUGGCAGGCCAGAGAGAAGACAUGAGUUGCCUGAGGCUACCCCAUGAGUCAGUGGCACAGCCGGCACUAGAGCUUCCCCGCGCACACAUGAAAACCUGUUUGAGCCUCUCACCAUGCUCACCUGUACCCCCACCUCCCAGCACACCCCCCACGCUGAGGGCCCCCAGACCUCCCAUUCCACCUUCCCCCAUCCUACGUGUUCCUGUACAGUUCCAGACUCAGGGCGUCCCUCUCCUUUGUUAACUCCUCGAUGUACUGCAAAUAGAGAAAGGUGAAGUCAGGAUAGAGCAGGCAGAGGAGUGGCUGGCCGACCAGGAACAACAGCCACAGUGACCACUCCACACACCACUCCCCACUCCCAGUCACACCUGACAUGCUCUCAAGGCACUUCCAAGCCCAGGAUCUCAUUUGUUUUUCUUCUUUUUCUUUUUUUCUUUUUGUUCAGAUGGAGUUUUGCUCUUGUAGCCCAGGCUGGAGUACAAUGUUGCAAUCUCACCCUACCACAACCUCCGCCUCCCAGGUUCAAGUGAUUCUCCUGCCUCAGCCGCCCAAGUAGCUGGGAUUACAGGUGUGAGCCACCACACCUGUCUCUCACUUGUUUUUCAAAGAACUCAGUAAGGGUGGAAGGGACAGGGAAAGAGAUUGAAUUGAUAGCUGGCUAACAGGGGCCCAGAGAGAUCAGAUAAGAUUGCUGCUGUUAUUACUGUUACUACUCCCACUGUCAGAACCUUUGAGUGCUUCACCAGGCACUGCACUAACCCAUUCAAUCCUCGCAACCUCCAUAGGAGACGGUUACCAUUAUUACCUCUAUUGUGUAGAUGAAAAACAUGGGGUACUGAAGGUUAAGGGGUUGUCUAAGAUCACUUAGACAGAGCUGGGCUUUCAACACCCAGGUAUAUCUGAUUCUGUAAGCCCAUUCCUUCGCUGGGGGUAGGGCACAGAUAAGGAGGAGGAAAUUAAUCCUUUGUUGACUCUUUGAAAGAAUGAUACAUUGGCGUAGUCCAAAACUCAGAAGGUACAGAAGGGAAAUACCUCCCAUACACACUGUUCCUGUCUCCUGAGUUUUUUAUGAAUCCUUACACAUAUGUUUUAGGUAUAUUAGCAUACUACGUAGCCACACACAUGUAUGUUUGUUCCCUCUUUCUACACAAAUGGUAACAUUCUAAAGAUACUCUUCUGUAUCUUCAUGGUACAAGUACACUAACCCCUGCCUAGGACUUAGCAAAGGCCACAGCCACGUCUGGGCAGGGUGGGCUCUUGGCCUUGGAGCUCUGUGUCCGGUGCUCGUUCCCCACAGCACCCUGCAGCUAACCCGCAGCAGCCGACUCAGCCCCAACCUGCCUCUAAUAUCCACACCCAAAAGCAGUACUAAAAGGUCCAUGCUGCCUUCUGGACAGGACACUGCAUUGUGCAGAGGGGACCUUUAGGGUCAUUCCUCCAUCUGUGAAACUGGGCUCCCAGGGGACCGAGCAGGUGGUUAGACUCACCCUGUCCGCCUUCUUGUGCUGUGUGGACACAGCAGACAGAGCCUGCUGUAACUCUCCUGCAAAGUGCCAGGAACGAUGCAGGCGACCGGCCAGAUCCUUGGACUCUCCUGGAAUGAGAGAGGUUGAGAUGUGGCACAAAGGACUCCCCCUAAAGGCCUGUGAAAGUGCCAGGUUGAAGGAUUACCGGGUGCCCAGAUUCCCACCUUCACAUUUCCUGGCAGCCUCCUGGCUGAAGUAGAGCCCUGUCUCCAGUUCAGUCUUCUGACUCGUAAGGAUUCGUAUAGUAUGAUCCUGGGUCUUUGGGAGAAAAGACAAGCAAGUGCUGAAAGAGAAGCAAAGAAACCUUCUCCAGAGGACAGGAGGGAACUUCACCCCCUCCACUCACCUCUAGCUCCCUCCUUAGGGCUUCCUGAUGUUGGUGGCUUGCCGCCUUUUCCUAUAGGAAGAGGAAGACAGAGCUCUUACCAGGGGGAGGCAGAGAUGGCACAGCAAGAGAUGCCCCCAGAAUGGCACCACUGCCCCAGGACAGGCCCACCCAUGGGGCCAGGUUAUCAGGGACCCUGUGGGGAUGGGGUGGAAUGUGGGGGGUGAGCCUUCAUCCCCAGUCUGGGAGUGGGCCAGGCGAGACUGGGGCCUCUACAUCUGAGUGCCCCCCAAACCCAGCAGUCAUGUGAGCAAACAAAGAAAUCAUGUUACUUCUUCCA